GGGGGGAUAGCACAAUUGGUAGUGCGUUGGAUUCCAGAUCCAAAGGUUGGGCGUUCGAUUCGCUCUCUCCUCA